UCGUGGCAUAAUCAGGAGUGCUAUUCCAAAAUCGCAGACACCUUGCUGACUCCAGCUCAGCCCUCAGAGAGCUCUUCUGAUCCUCUCAGCUCUGGGCAAAGCUUCCAGCCUCCAAAGGAUUAAACGUUCCAGAGUAAUGCUUCAUCUAGGACCUAGAUGCAGAGAGUAAAUCAAGGCCCCCAAAGACAUGAACAUCAUACCCAUAAGAUGUGAAGAGUUUGUAAAAGAUAUCACUGGAUGCAGCAUUUUCCACACAAGUCCAGGAGCAGCUCCUCCAUGUUUCCAUGAGCCUUUCUUCCUGAGCAAAAGGUGAAACAGAGGGAGGCUCAACUUUCCUGCAUAAUUAAGAAUUUGCAGCUUGGUAAUGCCAAGAACCACAUCUGCACUGAAAUCAAUUAUCUAUUUGGUAAGUGAGACAGAAAAUAUUUGAUAAAUAUUUUUUCUGCAGUAACUCUAAUGUUCACAAUAUAUCUAUGAUUUUAUUGAAGAUCUUAAGAAAAUUUCUAAGU